rnacentral:rRNA from 1 species
AUACAGAGGGUGCGAGCGUUAAUCGGAUUUACCCUGGGCGUAAAGCGUACGUAGGCGGCUUUUUAAGUCGGAUGUGAAAUCCCUGAGCUUAACUUAGGAAUUGCAUUCGAUACUGGGAAGCUAGAGUAUGGGAGAGGAUGGCAGAAUUCCAGGUGUAGCGGUGAAAUGCGUAGAGAUCUGGAGGAAUACCGAUGGCGAAGGCAGCCAUCUGGCCUAAUACUGACGCUGAGGUACGAAAGCAU